UCUGGUGAUAAUUGGCGAGGGGAAACACCCGUUCCCAUCUCGAACACGGCCGUUAAGCCCUCAGCCGCCAAUGGUAGUUGGACGUUAGGUUCCGCGAGAGUAGGUUAUUGCCAGGA
rnacentral:rRNA from 1 species